rnacentral:rRNA from 1 species
AUUGAACGCUGGCGGCAGGCCUAACACAUGCAAGUCGAACGAGUGGCGGACGGGUGAGUAAUGUCUGGGAAACUGCCCGAUGGAGGGGGAAAACUACUGUAAACGGUAGCUAAUAUCGCAUACCAUCGGAUGUGCCCAGAUGGGAUUAGCUAGUAGGUGGGGUAACGGCUCACCUAGGCGACGAUCCCUAGCUGGUCUGAGAGGUGGACCAGCCACACGUGAAUUGAGACACGGUCCAGACGCCUACGGAAGGCAGCAGUGGGGACUAUUGCACAAUGGGCGCAAGCUGAAUGGAGCCAUGCGGCGUGUGUGAAGAAGGCCUUCGGGUUGAAAAGUACUUUCAGCGAGGAGACGUUACUCGAGAAAGAAGCGCCGGCUAACUACGUGCCAGCCGCCGCGGUAAUUC